GCGCAAAUCUCGGGCGACAGGCUUUGCGCGACUUGUACCGCCCGUGUAGCCGAGUUUGGGUCAUUCUUUCAGGUUUUUUUUGUUUGUCCGCGCAUCUGAGAAGUGGGUGUAGAGCAUGGUAAAGAUGGAAGAACUCUUUGUUGUUGUUGUUGUUAUCUGAGCUGGAGCUGCAGCAAUGAUGGAUCCUUUAACCCACUGCAUCUGGCCAGGGAUCAAACCCAUGCCUCUGCAGCAACCCAAGCUGCCACAGUCAGCUUCACCUGCCACAUCACAGCGGGAACUCUAGGGUGGAAGGAUUUUUUUUCUUUUCUUUUUAGGGCUGCACCUGCAGCAUAUGUAAGUUACCAGGCCAGGGGUCUAAUCAGAGCUCAGCUGCCCGUCUACACUGAUGCCUAUGCAGCAACAUGGAUUCGCGCCUCAUCUGCAACCUAUACCACAGCUCUCACUGAGCGAGGCCAGGAAUUGAACCCACGUCCUCAUGGAUAUUAGUCAGGUUCUUAAUCUGAAGAACCACAACAGGACCUCUGUGGGGUGAGAGAAUUCUUUCUGUCCCUAUUUUAUAGGUCUUCUCCCUCUUCUGUGUGCAAAGCACCAGUAAUAAGCCACUGUCAUCACCCUGGUGACCUGGGCUUCCUUUGCCAUGCCUCCUGAAGCUGUCAGCCCUUGGACCAUGUGCAAGGAAAAUCAAAAUGGAGUGGGCAUUAGUAAGAGAGCUCUCCAAAAUGGAGCCAGGAGGCCACUGGGACAAGGACGUGAUGAUAAACCAGUCUCAGUCCGGGCUUCUCUUGGUUCGCUCCAGCCUUGGAUGGGCUUUUCCCCUCACAUCCCAAGAUGACUACCGGAAGUUUCAGCUGCCGGCUCACACCCCAGCCCCAGCCAUGCCACAUCUGAGCUGUGUCUGCAACCUACACCACAGCUCAUAACAACGCUGGAUCCUUUAACCCACUGAGUGAGGCCAGGGAUCGAACCUGCAUCCUCAUGGAUACUAGUCAGAUUCGUUUCCGCUGUGCCACAAUGGGAACUCC
rnacentral:lncRNA from 1 species